rnacentral:lncRNA from 1 species
AAACACUCCAAAGUCAGCAGGAGGAAGUAGAAAUGAGACAGAGGCCUCUGUCUCCUAAUCUUUUCCAUAGGCUACUGUUUUCUUUCUUUUCUCAUGAGGAAAAAUGAUAAAAGCAAAAUAAACAAAUUAGCUACCACUUAUGAAAAUCCCCAGGAAAUUCCUUUUCCAGAGUUCUCACUUACUAAUUUGGCUAACAUUACCAAUGGUAACAGACCCCACGUAUCCGCCACAAUUGCUGUGAGUUGCAGAGGAAAAAGACUGGGAGGAAAUCUUCACUUUUCUUCUGCAACAGCAACCAACAGAAAUGAAAGAGCCAGGGGAUUUUGCAAAAUAUCAACUCCUGAGAACUAAGAAUGAGAGCCUUUCCUGCCAAGCCCAUUCUGUGCCAGUCAUCAUAAAAUACUAUGACCCUUCCUUCCAGAAGAACAAUGCGCUGUGAUCUUUGGCUACUCAAGCUUUACAUCAUCCAUAUUACCCUGCAGCAGGAACAGAUUGAUGGGUAUUUUCACUGCCCCCAGAGAGUUACCCUCUAAUCCUUCAUUUGCUGCUCCAGCACAAUUGCACGGAAGCAAUAGCAGGGAUAGUUAGAGUGCAUACAAUUGAUUCCAAUCCAUCCAUCACUUAAACUACUGUCUAGGACAUCAGGAGGCCACA